UGGGGAAUAUUGCGCAAUGGGCGAAAGCCUGACGCAGCAACGCCGCGUGGGUGAAGAAGGUCUUCGGAUCGUAAAGCCCUGUCAGAUGGGAAGAAACCUGCGCAAGCAGCUGACGGUACCAUCAGAGGAAGCACCGGCUAACUCCGUGCCAGCAGCCGCGGUAAUACGGAGGGUGCAAGCGUUGUUCGGAAUUACUGGGCGUAAAGGGCGCGUAGGCGGCCGAUCAAGUCUGAUGUGAAAGCCCGGGGCUCAACCCCGGAAGUGCAUUGGAAACUGGUCGGCUUGAGUUCGGGAGAGGAGGGCAGAAUUCCCGGUGUAGGGGUGAAAUCCGUAGAUAUCGGGAGGAAAACCAGUGGCGAAGGCGGCCCUCUGGAACGUGACUGACGCUGAGGCGCGAAAG
rnacentral:rRNA from 1 species